rnacentral:lncRNA from 1 species
AUAAUUGAUCUGCGCUGACAUGAAAAUUGUCCUAAUGUCUUCAUGCGUCAUUUUAUUUGUACGGACCUUAUUUGCAAGGAAAUUGAAUGAAGAAAAGCUACGGGAAAAGGAAGAAAUGGAAAAUAGUCAUUUCAUCGAAUAUGCCGCCAAUGUGAUGUCUACCUUGAAAAAAGAUCACAAUUUUUAUGAAAUAGAAGACAAGAUGAGAAAUCCAAAAUCGACAGUGCGCACCUCAUUGAACAUGUUAGUAGCUAUGUCAAAUGACACUCUUACCAAAUUGAACAGAAUUAAAUCGAAGGAAGCUCGAAGGUAUUUAAAAGAGUGCUCACUUCAAAAGAGUGGAGCGAAACCAGAUUACAUGAGUAUCGAUGAACCUGAGAAGUUCAACGCCAUUGAUUUACAUUUAUUAAUUACAAAAAUGAAACAACUGAGACCACUUUUGGACAAAAUUGUAUAAGGUCGCUGUAUUCUAGGGAGCCAACAUUUAUAGUUACUAAUAAGUUGCCUAGAUGUUACUUUUGUAUAAUUUUUAAUGACGUACAUUUUGUAUAGAAAUUCAGUAAAUAGUAUUAUAUUUCAGUAAAAAAGUAACCUAGGAGAAAAUUAUUCAACUUCGAGUAAGAAUUAACAUGAUAUAAGCGUAUGUUUUUCAUGUUUAAGUUUCAAAAGGCUGCAACAACUAAUAAUGUUCAUUGAAUACGAGAUUAUGUAAUGUACUAACUUUUUUCCUUCCUUAAAAAAUGCCUGAAGAGGAUUUCCGAUAUAAAAAUUUUUGUACGUUGAAUUCACCCUCUUUCAAAAAAGUGUUUCUUACGAUCAGAUCAUGAUUGAUUUUACAUAUUUUAACAUUCAAUACUCCUAGGAAAUUGCACAGAGGAUGCGUGGAUAAGAAUUAUGUCCAAGAAUUAUCAUUUGCAAGUAGAAAUUAACUUAAUUAACGAGGUUUAUGAUUGUAUGAAGGACCGAAUUAUCUGGAAAAUGCAUCUAAUGCAUAUUUAAGAUUUGAGGUGAUUCGAUGGACGCCAUAUUUUGUGUCAGAUCGAACGGCAUGCGAUAUAUCGCAUCAAUUGGUUCCAUUUUUUCAGCUACUCGUCAUUUUUCUCCAAUUUUGAGAUCACAAUUCUGUUGUCAGGAGACUAAAGCACUCACUUACCAAUUUUAACAAAGAAAUUCAACGUAAUAAAGGAGAGGUUAUUUUAGAGAGAAAACAUCGCAUUCGAGUGCAGUUUCGAUAUCAUUAUCGAAUGCGAUGUUUUCUCUCUAAAAAUACCACGCCUUUAUUACGUUGAAUUUCUUUGUUGAAAUUGGUAAGUGAGUGCUUUACCUAGUCUCCUGACAACAGAAUUGCGAUCUCAAAAUUGGAGAAAAUUUAUGAGUACCUAGCUGAAAAAAUGGAACCAAUUGAUGCAAUAUAUCGCAUGCCGUUCUGACACAAAAUAUGGCGUCCAUCGAAUCACCUUCCGGUUUGAAAUCCUAUGUUGGACUUGUCUCUAAUAUAUGGAACACCCAAAAAUGGAAAGGGUCUCCUCUAAUAUUGUGUAAUUUGUAACGCAAGACAGCUUUUCACUAUUCAAGCAAUUUUUAUCGAAAAUUUAUAAAUGUGUGUAUUAGAAAAAUGAACUGCGGUUGAUAUAGGUAAAUACAAGUAUUUGGAAACAGUGCGCGUGACAGUGUAAACAACUGACGAUUACGUAACCACUCAAAUUAGUGUAUCAUUUGAGCAUUGUUAAAAUGCCAUUGAAAAAGCUUCACCGAGAACUUGAUUUUUAGAGAAUGGCUCUAUUUUAAGUCUGUGCCAUUGGAUUUUAGUUGUUUACUCAGGCGAUCAUCAGACCUGCGAAUAACCAUUCACUUCGUGCAAAUAUCGAAUCAUUUCCCCCUCUAUCUUUCGCUCAGAGUGAGGUAAGUUUACUCAAUUUCACUUCAAGUUCAACUUUGUUAAGGAAGUCAAUGGAUUUCUAUGAUGUAUGAGUUUAAAGUGGAAUGACAUUUUAAAAGCUUAAUUGGCUCACCUACAGCUUUACGGAAGUCUAUAUAUCAAAUUGCCCCUUGUUCGACCUCUGGAAAAGUGUCACCAAGUGCAAAGCAUUUGGAUGAACCAAAAAUCAUUGAGGGUGGACCAGAAACAUAGUAUAUUUCAGCUAGUUUCGCAGUUCAGUGGCUCGCAUCCACUGAAGUGGGUUCUUGACUUAUAACCUAUCUAUGAAGACCCACUUUUAGGACCAAAUGAGUAGGUAUUCUGUCUCUAAAUAUAACUGUGUAGGUACAUACAUCGGCUACAAGAAUGAUUAGUUGCCGUGCAUGUGAAUGAAUAUUGUCGGAGUGAAUCUACCCGAAACCAAAACAACAACAAAAUCAUUAAUCGAAGAAUGUUUGUGUUCAAUGUGAACAUUUGUUCCACUUCCAAUUUUUAGCAAAAAAAGGACAAUUUUGUGCAAGAAGCACGUUUCAGUUGUUUACUUCUGGCAAGUCUCUUGAAAAAGCCUCGACUAUUCGAACGCAGAAAACUUCGAUUUGAUUAAUCGAAUGCGAUAUUUCAAGUUGGAACACUGCUGACUUUAACGUGAGGGUUUAUCGAGUAUUUAACGAGAGCAGAGUUGAAAUCAUUGCUCACAAAAUGGUUACAAUUUUUGCUAAAAACAAGUAGCAAAACUAGUGUUUUAUCAGUUGCUGAGUGCCCGUUUACUUCCCUUACAUCACGUUGUUACGUUGUUCAGUUACAUCUGAAACAUAAGUGCCUAUAAUGCAGAUACACUUAUUUUAAGAGUUUUUAAGAAGCGCAUGACAUGGCGCAACGCCGCGCGCCGUAAUGACAGGGACACAUUUUUUUCGAAUUUCUUGCUUUAGGUAGAACACAUUUGUUCAUUAUGUAACACUCAAAUGAUGAAAAUUAUCGACUAAUCUUGAUUUCAAUUUAUUUUUGGUUGUA